GUCUUAUUGAUUAUAAUUUUAAGUCAAUCUGCCCAAUGAAUAAAUUUAAUGGCUGCAGUAUACCUGACUGUGCAAAGGUAGCAUAAUAAACUGAUUUUUAAAUGAAAUCUGGAAUGAAAGAAUUAAUGAAAUAUAUACUGUCUCAUAUUUAUAAAGUGAAUUUAAAUUUUUAAUAAAAAUGUUAAAAUUUUUUUAUGGGACGAUAAGACCCUAUAGAAUUUUAUAUUAAAUUAAAUUUAUAUAAAAUAUAAAAUUUAAUUUAAUAUUUAAUUGGGAGAAUUAUUAAAUUUAAUAAAUUUUAAUGUAAAUAAACUUUAAUUAAAGAAAAUAUUCUGAUCUUUAAUUUAAAAUAAAUAGAUUAAAUUACCUUAGGGAUAACAGCGUAAUAUUUUUUCAUAGAUCGUAUAGAAAAAAAUGAUUGCGACCUCGAUGUUGAAUUAAGAUAAAUUUUAAAUGCAGGAGUCUAAUAAUUAAGUCUGUUCGACUUUUAAAAUCUUACAUGAUUUGAGUUCAAAUCGACGUAAGU
rnacentral:rRNA from 1 species